AUUGAACGCUGGCGGCAGGCCUAACACAUGCAAGUCGAACGAGUGGCGGACGGGUGAGUAAUGUCUGGGAAACUGCCUGAUGGGGGGGGAUAAAUACUGGAAACGGUAGCUAAUACCGCAUACCAUCAGAUGUGCCCAGCUGGGAUGAGCUUGUGGGUGGGGUAACGGCUCACCAAGGCGACGAUCCCUAGCUGGUCUGAGAGGAUGACCGGCAACAUGGGAACUGAGACACGGCCCAGACUCCUCCGGAAGGAAGCAGUGGGGAAUAUUGCAAAAUGGGCGAAAGCCUGAUGCAGCAAUGCCGCGUGUAGGAAGAAGGCCUUCGGGUUGUAAAGUACUUUCAGCGGGGAGGCGGUACCCGCAGAAGAAGCACCGGCUAACUCCGUGCCAGCAGCCGCGGUAAUUC
rnacentral:rRNA from 1 species